UUGUGUAAACAGAUACUUCUGGUUUUGUCACAGCCAAGCUAAAGGGUUGGCCCAUUCCUGCUGCUCUCCUGAAGCGAAGAUAGCGUAAAAGAUGACCCCUGAGUAAUGCACCAUGGCCGCAAUAACAAAGACAUUCUGCCACUCCAGACGAGUCUGUAGGGAGAUGAAGAGAGUCAAUGAAUUUUCUGUCAGAGGAAGAAUUACUGAUAUUUCAAUGAUGCACCACUGAGCAGACACAACAAGGGGACCGGAUCUGCGAAACAAAAAAGUGAGCUCUCUCACGUCCAUUUGCUGGCCGAUUGUGUGACACGUGUAGCACAAAUAGAAUCCGCAGACAAUUUUCACAAGAAGAAUCAGAGGCAUCACCCACCACAGAAUGAAGUUGUCGCCAGUCGACUUCGUUCAAGAGGAGGCGCCCAUUUGGACCACAUCCCAUGACAUGCUGGGAUGCGAACAAACAUGACGCAGCCGUAGUGCACUCUGGCUGCGGAUGGGAUGAACAUAUUGAGCAGUG